rnacentral:rRNA from 1 species
AGAGUUUGAUCAUGGCUCAGGAUGAACGCUGGCGGCGUGCCUAACACAUGCAAGUCGAGCGAUUUACUUCGGUAAAGAGCGGCGGACGGGUGAGUAACGCGUGGGUAACUUGCCCUGUACACACGGAUAACAUACCGAAAGGUAUGCUAAUACGAGAUAAUAUGCUUUUAUCGCAUGGUAGAAGUAUCAAAGCUUUUGCGGUACAGGAUGGACCCGCGUCUGAUUAGCUAGUUGGUAAGGUAACGGCUUACCAAGGCGACGAUCAGUAGCCGACCUGAGAGGGUGAUCGGCCACAUUGGAACUGAGACACGGUCCAAACUCCUACGGGAGGCAGCAGUGGGGAAUAUUGCACAAUGGGCGAAAGCCUGAUGCAGCAACGCCGCGUGAGCGAUGAAGGCCUUCGGGUCGUAAAGCUCUGUCCUCAAGGAAGAUAAUGACGGUACUUGAGGAGGAAGCCCCGG